AACGAACGCUGGCGGCGUGGAUAAGACAUGCAAGUCGAACGGGACUUUUUCUGGUAGCAAUACCGGAAAAAGUCUAGUGGCGAACGGGUGCGUAACACGUGGACAAUCUGCCUUAAAGUGGGGGAUAGCUCGGCGAAAGCCGAAUUAAUACCGCAUGUGAUGAGGGAAGACAUCUUUCUGACUUCAAAGCCGGGGCAACCUGGCGCUUUUUGAGGAGUCCGCGGCCUAUCAGCNGUUGGUGAGGUAACGGCUCACCAAGGCUAUGACGGGUAGCUGGUCUGAGAGGACGACCAGUCACACUGGAACUGAGACACGGUCCAGACACCUACGGGUGGCAGCAGUCGAGAAUUUUUCUCAAUGGGGGAAACCCUGAAGGAGCGACGCCGCGUGGAGGAUGAAGGUCUUCGGGUUAGUAAACUCCU
rnacentral:rRNA from 1 species